rnacentral:rRNA from 1 species
AACGAACGCUGGCGGCAUGCCUAACACAUGCAAGUCGAACGAGACCUUCGGGUCUAGUGGCGCACGGGUGCGUACCGCGUGGGAACCUGCCCUUAGGUUCGGAAUAACUCCCCGAAAGGGGUGCUAAUACCGGAUAAUGUCUUCGGACCAAAGAUUUAUCGCCUUUGGAUGGGCCCGCGUUGGAUUCGCUAGUUGGUAGGGUAAAAGCCUACCAAGGCGACGAUCCAUAGCUGGUCUGAGAGGAUGAUCAGCCACACUGGGACUGAGACACGGCCCAGACUCCUACGGGAGGCAGCAGUAGGGAAUAUUGGACGAUGGGCGAAAGCCUGAUCCAGCAAUGCCGCGUGAGUGAUGAAGGCCUUAGGGUUGUAAAGCUCUUUUACCCGGGAUGAUAAUGACAGUACCGGGAGAAUAAGCUCCGGCUAACUCCGUG